rnacentral:rRNA from 1 species
UUAAGCGACUAAGCGUACACGGUGGAUGCCCCGCAGUCAGAGGCGAUGAAGGACGUGCUAAUCUGCGAUAAGCGUCGGUGAGGUGAUAUGAACCGUUAUAACCGGCGAUUUCCGAAUGGGGAAACCCAGUGUGUUUCGACACACUAUCAUUAACUGAAUCCAUAGGUUAAUGAGGCGAACCGGGGGAACUGAAACAUCUAAGUACCCCGAGGAAAAGAAAUCAACCGAGAUUCCCCCAGUAGCGGCGAGCGAACGGGGAGGAGCCCAGAGCCUGAAUCAGUGUGUGUGUUAGUGGAAGCGUCUGGAAAGGCGCGCGAUACAGGGUGACAGCCCCGUAUACAAAAAAUGCACAUACUGUGAGCUCGAUGAGUAGGGCGGGACACGUGGUAUCCUGUCUGAAUAUGGGGGACCAUCCUCCAAGGCUAAAUACUCCUGACUGACCGAUAGUGAACCAGUACCGUGAGGGAAAGGCGAAAAGAACCCCGGCGAGGGGAGUGAAAAAGAACCUGAAACCGUGUACGUACAAGCAGUGGGAGCCUCUUAAUGGGGUGACUGCGUACCUUUUUUGUAUAAUGGGUCAGCGACUUAUAUUCUGUAGCAAGGUUAACCGAAUAGGGGAGCCGAAGGGAAACCGAGUCUUAACUGGGCGUUAAGUUGCAGGGUAUAGACCCGAAACCCGGUGAUCUAGCCAUGGGCAGGUUGAAGGUUGGGUAACACUAACUGGAGGACCGAACCGACUAAUGUUGAAAAAUUAGCGGAUGACUUGUGGCUGGGGGUGAAAGGCCAAUCAAACCGGGAGAUAGCUGGUUCUCCCCGAAAGCUAUUUAGGUAGCGCCUCGUGAAUUCAUCUCCGGGGGUAGAGCACUGUUUCGGCAAGGGGUCAUCCCGACUUACCAACCCGAUGCAAACUGCGAAUACCGGAGAAUGUUAUCACGGGAGACACACGGCGGGUGCUAACGUCCGUCGUGAAGAGGGAAACAACCCAGACCGCCAGCUAAGGUCCCAAAGUCAUGGUUAAGUGGGAAACGAUGUGGGAAGGCCCAGACAGCCAGGAUGUUGGCUUAGAAGCAGCCAUCAUUUAAAGAAAGCGUAAUAGCUCACUGGUCGAGUCGGCCUGCGCGGAAGAUGUAACGGGGCUAAACCAUGCACCGAAGCUGCGGCAGCGACACUAUGUGUUGUUGGGUAGGGGAGCGUUCUGUAAGCCUGUGAAGGUGUACUGUGAGGUAUGCUGGAGGUAUCAGAAGUGCGAAUGCUGACAUAAGUAACGAUAAAGCGGGUGAAAAGCCCGCUCGCCGGAAGACCAAGGGUUCCUGUCCAACGUUAAUCGGGGCAGGGUGAGUCGACCCCUAAGGCGAGGCCGAAAGGCGUAGUCGAUGGGAAACAGGUUAAUAUUCCUGUACUUGGUGUUACUGCGAAGGGGGGACGGAGAAGGCUAUGUUGGCCGGGCGACGGUUGUCCCGGUUUAAGCGUGUAGGCUGGUUUUCCAGGCAAAUCCGGAAAAUCAAGGCUGAGGCGUGAUGACGAGGCACUACGGUGCUGAAGCGACAAAUGCCCUGCUUCCAGGAAAAGCCUCUAAGCAUCAGGUAACAUCAAAUCGUACCCCAAACCGACACAGGUGGUCAGGUAGAGAAUACCAAGGCGCUUGAGAGAACUCGGGUGAAGGAACUAGGCAAAAUGGUGCCGUAACUUCGGGAGAAGGCACGCUGAUAUGUAGGUGAAGCGACUUGCUCGUGGAGCUGAAAUCAGUCGAAGAUACCAGCUGGCUGCAACUGUUUAUUAAAAACACAGCACUGUGCAAACACGAAAGUGGACGUAUACGGUGUGACGCCUGCCCGGUGCCGGAAGGUUAAUUGAUGGGGUUAGCGGUAACGCGAAGCUCUUGAUCGAAGCCCCGGUAAACGGCGGCCGUAACUAUAACGGUCCUAAGGUAGCGAAAUUCCUUGUCGGGUAAGUUCCGACCUGCACGAAUGGCGUAAUGAUGGCCAGGCUGUCUCCACCCGAGACUCAGUGAAAUUGAACUCGCUGUGAAGAUGCAGUGUACCCGCGGCAAGACGGAAAGACCCCGUGAACCUUUACUAUAGCUUGACACUGAACAUUGAGCCUUGAUGUGUAGGAUAGGUGGGAGGCUUUUGAAGUGUGGACGCCAGUCUGCAUGGAGCCGACCUUGAAAUACCACCCUUUAAUGUUUGAUGUUCUAACGUGGGCCCCUUACCGGGGUUGCGGACAGUGUCUGGUGGGUAGUUUGACUGGGGCGGUCUCCUCCUAAAGAGUAACGGAGGAGCACGAAGGUUGGCUAAUCCGGUCGGACAUCAGGAGGUUAGUGCAAUGGCAUAAGCCAGCUUGACUGCGAGCGUGACGGCGCGAGCAGGUGCGAAAGCAGGUCAUAGUGAUCCGGUGGUUCUGAAUGGAAGGGCCAUCGCUCAACGGAUAAAAGGUACUCCGGGGAUAACAGGCUGAUACCGCCCAAGAGUUCAUAUCGACGGCGGUGUUUGGCACCUCGAUGUCGGCUCAUCACAUCCUGGGGCUGAAGUAGGUCCCAAGGGUAUGGCUGUUCGCCAUUUAAAGUGGUACGCGAGCUGGGUUUAGAACGUCGUGAGACAGUUCGGUCCCUAUCUGCCGUGGGCGCUGGAGAACUGAGGGGGCUGCUCCUAGUACGAGAGGACCGGAGUGGACGCAUCACUGGUGUUCGGGUUGUCAUGCCAAUGGCACUGCCCGGUAGCUAAAUGCGGAAGAGAUAAGUGCUGAAAGCAUCUAAGCACGAAACUUGCCCCGAGAUGAGUUCUCCCUGACUCCUUGAGAGUCCUGAAGGAACGUUGAAGACGACGACGUUGAUAGGCCGGGUGUGUAAGCGCAGCGAUGCGUUGAGCUAACCGGUACUAAUGAACCGUGAGGCUUAACCU